UACGUAGGGGGCAAGCGUUUGUCCGGAAUCAUUGGGCGUAAAGCGCGCGUAGGCGGCUCGAUAAGUCCGUUGUGAAAGUCAAAGGCUCAACCUUUGAAUGCCGAUGGAUACUGUCGAGCUAGAGUCCGGAAGAGGCGAGUGGAAUUCCUGGUGUAGCGGUGGAAUGCGCAGAUAUCAGGAGGAACACCAAUAGCGAAGGCAGCUCGCUGGGACGGUACUGACGCUAAGGGCGCGGAAGCGUGGGGGAGCAAACAGGAGUUAGAAACCCGAGAUA
rnacentral:rRNA from 1 species